rnacentral:lncRNA from 1 species
CCUUGUUGCUCACACAAAGCCUGUUUGGUGGUCUCUUCACACGGACACGCGUGAAAGGAAGAGAAAGGGAAGAACACACCUCUAUGUGCUUGAACACUAAAGCCCGGAGAAAGCUCUAUCUCACGUGGACAAAUACCAUGAGAAGAAAAAGGGAACAGAAGACAGGAGAGGAAUCUGGGAAAUACAACAAACCUCCUCCCUUUCUCAUCCUUCUGCUCCAAGCCAUUGGAGACAAAGGUUUCUGUACUGGAGAAAGAAGGAAGGCUUUGAAUCAAAUGUAAGAUUGAAAAUUGCUAAAGUUUAAACAAAGUGUUGACUGAAAUGAGAUUGUUUUAAUAAAAGUGGAAAGGUGAAAGAAAA